rnacentral:lncRNA from 1 species
GCUUAAAUGAGUAAUUGUAAUUCCUAAAUGUAUUUUCCACAUGUGAAUUAUCUCUGAGAAUAUUAUGCCUGAUAUAAGUUCUACUUCUAGAAAUCUGGAAAAUGGUGAAUAACUGUAACGAGUGUCUAUCACAUGGAUGCUGCACUGUAUGUAUUUUAAUAUUGAAAGACAUAUAUACCUGACAUUUGUGGUCAUGCUGUCUUUCCAUCCUCCUGUCUCUUUAACACUAGGCUUGGCAAGUACCAGAAGGCUCAUUGAGAUUUCCUGUGGUUUAUGACCCAAGUUGACAACUGUGACUUCUUCUUUGUGGCGUUCUGAUGGUUAUGUCGUAUAAGAAUCACCUUAUAUCAUUUGAGAAGCUGCUGACACGGAGCACUGGUUUGAUGGAUGACCUGAGCGGCUGCUGUUCCCAUCAGAGAUCUGUUUUACUCUCCAGCGCACUUACACAUCCAUUAUUGUGUUGAAGACACCCACACAACUCCUCUGCUAUUGGGACGUCCCGAGCGCGCGGCAGUUUCAUAAAUGCCAGGUUCCGAGCAUUGCGUGGGAAAGUGCAGCGGCGCAGUAAAGCAUCGCCUGGCCUUUUGGCAAUCACCAGAUUAUUACAUUUUAAAGGUCAGAUGUACAUGAUUAUUUUACCUGAGCCAUUUUGUUGGGGGGGGGGAGGGGCUGAGUCACUCACGACUUGUUCAAAUCUCCUUAAUGGUUCAAGAGUUAAAGGUAAGAAACCUGGAAAUAUAAGGUGAAAACUCCAGACAUCAAAAAUGUAAAAUGAAUUAUCACAAGACUGUAGAUAAUACAUAUGAGUACUUGGUAUUAAAAAUUGGAGAUGAUAUUACAAAUUUAUGUUUAAUUAAAGUAUAUACAUGAUGUAGCUUUUUAAAUUUUCUGUAUUUAUUCUAAAUAACUGCCUGUGAAAAUAAUGGCAUAAGUAAUUGCUGUAUAUCUUAUUCUAUACCUCCAUACUUUUACAUACACUUGACUUUUACUUUCUAUUCUUCCUUUGCAUAGGAUUCUGUCUGAUGAAUUUCAGCUUCCUCAGCUGUGUAAACUUGCCCCAAUUCUCCUUCAAAAAAUUCGUGGAUGUGCAUUUUGAGAUUCACUUAACUGUGACAACAUUAAUUCUUUCAGGUCAUCGUGAAUAAGUGACACAUGAAUUCAUUAGGCAUCUAUUUGCAUGUACAGUAUUCUUAGUAUUGUAGUGAAAUAGUUCCAUUUCAUUAGAAAAGAUCCCUGAAAAACAAUGGCAUUAUUACCUGUGAAUAUUUCUCACGUUACAUGGUCCACAGUAGAGCUACAAGACUAUAACCCCACACCAAUACGCAGGACCCAGGAUAAGUGGACAAGUAAGGUACAACACCGUAUACUUAUAUGAAUCAUCAUAGUUAGAGCUAAUUUUUUUCUGGAAUUUAUUAGGGAAUCCAUAUCAUAUGAUUCAUUUAUAUACUUUUCUUUAAAUAUUCUGUUCAGGAAAACAAAGUCUAAAUUCAAGUAAAAAAUACUAAUUCUAAACUCAUAUGAAAAAUAUCUUGACAGAUUUUAACAAAAAUAGUGUAGCUAAUGAAGACCAUGGCAUCCACUUAAAUGUAUUAGAACACAAUAUUUAUAGAUUAAUUAAAUCUUCUAUCUCUUUUAAACAAUGAGAUAUUGAUGUGCUCAAUUUACCUUUUACCACUAUCUCUAAAUCUUCCUAUGCAUUAUUUACACAUAUCUUCAAUAUACAUGAAAAUUUAGGUUUAGGACUAGUCUGAAAAUAACCUAAGAAGAGCCUAAAAUCUAAAAGGGGAUGCAGAUUGAAAUUACCAAUUUCCACUAAAAGUAAAAAUUUUUUAUGAGACAUUUUGCUUUCAAAAUAACAUCCAAAAAGACACACUUCCAGAACAGCAGAAUAAAACCUACCAAAAUUAGCUUCUCCA